rnacentral:rRNA from 1 species
UACGGGGGGGGGCAAGCGUUGUCCGGAUUUAUUGGGCAUAAAGAGCGUGUAGGCGGCUAGGUAGGUCCGUUGUGAAAACUCGAGGCUCAACCUCGAGACGUCGAUGGAAACCAUCUAGCUAGAGUCCGGAAGAGGAGAGUGGAAUUCCUGGUGUAGCGGUGAAAUGCGCAGAUAUCAGGAAGAACACCCGUGGCGAAGGCGGCUCUCUGGUACGUGACUGACGCUGAGACGCGAAAGCGUGGGGAGCGAACAGG